CUUUGGUUUCAUGGAGCAAAAGUCUUUUCAACCCACAAGAUCUCCCAAAUACUGAGGAAUAGCUUGUUGAAAAGACAAGGCAGGAAUUUGUUCCCCAGUUUCAAAGAUGAAGAAAUCAAGGCCCUGUGAGAAGGAAGUGGCUCUCCACAGUUAAUCACCAUUGAUGAUGUGACAAAAGCUUCGGUCAGAAAUGCUGCUGUAAGAUUAAACCUUAAUGGAGCUGUGGUUUGAUCUUCUCCUCCCCUCACUCCAAGUGGCUGUGUUUCUCCCCAUACAUGCUCCAAAUAACCCCAUGAUUUGGGAUGAUUGAUUAUGGGAAUGCUGCUUUUACUGUACAUCCAAGAGAGAAGAGGAUUUUCUCCCAAAUACGAUACUACAGAAAUGGUAUUUUUGAAGCUAUCCUUGCUACUCUGUGUGCUGAAAUCUGAAGACUUCUUCCUUCCUGCAGCCGACAGGUGCUCCCACUACAGAAACAUGAUGUCCCAGGGGGCUCUCCUGUGCUCUACUUUGACUCCAAUUUGCUCACUACAGUGAAAUAGGACCCCCAAAAAUGUCAAAGAAUCAUCCUUUUUACCUUAGCUCUUUUAAGCAGUUCUAAACAGAGAUUAUUUCUUCACAACUAAACCUGUGAAAUAACAGCUUUGUCCAUUCAAAGCACACCUGCUGUAAAUAGAUACUUUUUCUUUCUUUCUAGUUUUUGCCCCUGAGGAACUUCUCAAUAACUCAACAAAUAAUUUUAAGGGUGUUGAGAGAGUCAGGGAUUUUUGGAACUAGGAUUCAGGAAGAUAGGCCCUGUAUUGGAGGAGUAUCUAGUCCCCAGCAAGAGCAAAACAAAAUGAAAAUAGCAACAAAUGACAGAUAAAUAAGUCACGGUAAGACAUGAGGUGAGGGCCAUAAUCGAUAUACUUAUGACCGAAUGGAAGCCUGGGAGGGGGACAGUUACUUCUGCUGGGUUUGUGAAGUCUGGAAGGGCAUCAGUGAGAGAAGAUGACAAUUUUUCUAGGCUGCAAAGUGAGGCAUCAUUGGUUCCCUAUAGGAGUGGAGUGGGUGUGGAAUAGCCAU